GUGUUUGUUUYGGCAGCACAUAUACUAAAAUUGGAAUGAUACAGAGUAGAUUAGCAUGGCCCCURCGCAAGGGUGACACGCAAAUUCAUUUUUAUUAUUUU
rnacentral:snRNA from 1 species